AACGCACCUUGCGCCCUUUGGCCAUUCCGAAGGGCAUGCCUGUUUGAGUAUCAUGAACACCUCAACUCUUCAUGGUUUUCCAUGAUGAGCUUGGACUUUGGGGGUUUUGCUGGCCUAUGGUCGGCUCCUCUAAAAUGAAUCAGCUUGCCAGUGUUUGGUGGGCAUCACGGGUGUGAUAACUAUCUACGCUUGUGGUUUUCCACCAGGUAACCUUCAGCAAUGGAGGUUCACUGGAGCUCACAGACGUCUCUCCUCAGUGAGGACAGCCCUUUGAAUGUUUGAUCUCAAAUCAGGUAGGACUACCCGCUGAACUUAA
rnacentral:misc_RNA from 1 species